rnacentral:rRNA from 1 species
AGGCGUGGCUUCCGGAGCUAACGCGUUAAAUCGACCGCCUGGGGAGUACGGCCGCAAGGUUAAAACUCAAAUGAAUUGACGGGGGCCCGCACAAGCGGUGGAGCAUGUGGUUUAAUUCGAUGCAACGCGAAGAACCUUACCUGGUCUUGACAUCCACAGAACUUUCCAGAGAUGGAUUGGUGCCUUCGGGAACUGUGAGACAGGUGCUGCAUGGCUGUCGUCAGCUCGUGUUGUGAAAUGUUGGGUUAAGUCCCGCAACGAGCGCAACCCUUAUCCUUUGUUGCCAGCGGUUAGGCCGGGAACUCAAAGGAGACUGCCAGUGAUAAACUGGAGGAAGGUGGGGAUGACGUCAAGUCAUCAUGGCCCUUACGACCAGGGCUACACACGUGCUACAAUGGCAUAUACAAAGAGAAGCGACCUCGCGAGAGCAAGCGGACCUCAUAAAGUAUGUCGUAGUCCGGAUUGGAGUCUGCAACUCGACUCCAUGAAGUCGGAAUCGCUAGUAAUCGUAGAUCAGAAUGCUACGGUGAAUACGUUCCCGGGCCUUGUACACACCGCCCGUCACACCAUGGGAGUGGGUUGCAAAAGAAGUAGGUAGCUUAACCUUCGGGAGGGCGCUUACCACUUUGUGAUUCAUGACUGGGGUGAAGUCGUAACAAGGUAACCGUAGGGGAACCUGCGGUUG